CCCAAUAUGGAUAUGAAAUUGACCCAAUAUGUAUAUAGAACUGACCCUAUAUGGGAAUGAAACUGAUCGGUCAUUCACAGUGGUAGCUGGGGAUCUCCUCUGCCUUCAGUAGAUAUAUGUUGUAAUGGCUUUAUGUGGAAGUGGGUAAAAAACUUUUAAAAACACAAAACAUGACUUAGAUAGUUGUUGUUAAUUUAUGGUGAUUUUGUAUGAUGGUUCUUCUAAUUUAUCCUGAUCUUAUUGUGUCCUAAGUUAAUUCAACUAGCUUCUAUUGUAAU
rnacentral:lncRNA from 1 species